AAAUCAUAUAUUUGAUAAAAUUGUGGGUUACAAUAUUGGAUAUUACAAGAGGAACAUCAUCCCAAUCUGAUGCAUAAUCUAAAUAUUUUCGACACAUCGAAAGUUCAACCAAAAGUAUCCAUCAACAUCCCUAAAACUUAUCUAAAACUUAACUGAGGAACAUCACCCAUCACCCAAAAUGAACAUCCCUACAACUUAACGAACAAUAAAAGCAUCCAUCAUCAUCAUCAUCAUCAUCAUGGACAGGAGCAUCAUGAUCUUCACACACCCAUAUAAUCAUCCAUUUAUUUUUUGCAUCUACAAACAAAAAAUCAAAAUGAACUGUUAACACACAGUGCAUUAACAUAUGCAAGUUGUUGUAGAGACAGAAUAUUAGUCAUUGUAUAUGCUCUGAUAUAUCUCUGUAUGCAAACUCGAUCCAGAAAUUCAUCUACAAAAGCUGAGUAAUAUUUACUUUCUCUAGGAAAUCACAUUAGUAAUUUUUUGAAUUCUAUAUACAUUGCACACUUCAUAAAAAUAACAAAUAUUACCGCCGAUGUAACCAUGAAUGAAUUGCAUAAUCUUAGCAUAUGAAUAUCGGAUUUGCGAUUCAAUCCCUAUCGUCGUACAAUAUAAUUGACAAUUAUAUUGUUCUUCAACAAUGCAAGGAUCAACCUCCCAGCCUUUGCUACAUAGCAGGCAGAAUUUUCUUCAAACAUUGUAAAAAGGCUAGUAAGGUGAUUCUACUUUUCAUACUAGUCAUGAACCCAUGCACAGACUAACAUUUUGUGUUUCACAUUGUUAGCUGGGAAUAACUACUAUGGUGAUCCAAAAUAGUUAGCUUCAAUAUGACAUCAAUAGUUAGCUUCAACAGAAGCCUUGUACAAUGCACACUUAUUCUCAUGACGGUGGCCUUGGUCUGAUGUGGUUAGGAGAAGACACCAAAAAGGAUUGGUGCGAAAUUUCUUAGAUUUACAGACCAUACGCAAGAAUAUUCGUAUGUCUUUAGAAUUUGCAAUAUAUUAGGCCUAAGUUUUAAAGCAUCGAUAUGACCAUAGAAAAUAAAAGUAUGCUUGAUGGCACAUAUAGUUUCACAUCCAGGGACAAAAGCUAUGAAGAAACUUACCUUAUCAAAUCAAAUAUGAGGCCGAAUUGGUAAUUCUCAAGUUCAUCCUCUCCUCUGCUUGCAUGCCACAUACCUAACUGGUACACGUGCUAAUUAGCUCAAGUAAACACUUGUUUUCUUUUAAACUAAAAACAAACCAUGAUAAUUUGCGUGCUGCAAAUACAAUAUAACAUAUGUUUUCGGUGAUGCAUAGUGACAUAAAUAUUACAAAUGGCACAAAUAAUGAUGAGUAAAUAUUUUGUGGGCAACGAACAAAAGUGAGAGUUGAAACUCUGGACCCAAAAAAGCAUGGUUGCAAAUCGAUAGUGUGUGUACUGUUCUAGCUUUCUAGGAACAUCUUAUUGGGCAAAACCAGCAAAUUUAUAUUGAAAUUGCUAAAAGAGUAACUAAUUUAUCGUGGAAUGGCUACAGGAGUACCUUAAUUUUAGAGGGAC
rnacentral:lncRNA from 1 species